rnacentral:lncRNA from 1 species
UGAGAUGCAUGAUUCUGUAGGGAUGAGUUCCACUGAAAACAAUUGGCAGUCAUUCUCGGAAUGCAUGCGCCUGCAGGGUUGUAUGAAGUUUAAUUGAGAUUUACUCUUGUGCUGCUUGUGUUGUUCGGUCUUCUGUGUUUACCAACCUCAGCAUCAGGCACUUGUGUCUCGGCUCAUAAAGGAAAGAAAUAGCAAUACAGCGACAAAGGUGAUCACAACUGAGAUCAAAGCUAUGUUGAAACUAAAGGGCUAAUUAGGCACAAUUUGAGGAGUUGGUAAUUCUUUUUUAGUGUGGUUGUAUUAGACAUCCCAACUUUGAAUUCUUUCACUAACUAUAUCAUGGAUCAGCAUCAUCAGAAAUUCUGGAUUCAUCUUCUUCGAGCGAACAGUAAGAAAAUUCUUAUUAUAGAUUUAGCAACAGUUUCUCAGUCAAAGUUGAUCUUUUUUUUUGUUUUUGGCACUUGUUUCUGCUUCUUGCGGACGAUAUAGAUUAAAGAGUUGUCGUAUUAGUGCCUUGGAAAUGUUGUGUUAUUACUGUGCCAUUGUAAGUUGUCCAUAAUAUAGAGCUGAAAGUAAGGAAGGAAAUGUUUGAGUUGAAUUCUGAUGAUUCAACAUAUUAACUGUUGACACCAGGAAAAGUAUUAAAUCUGUAAAUUAUUUUCUUCUCUUCCUGCUAAAUAUCAUGAUGAUUCAAAAAAAUAUAUUAUUGUUAGAUGUAGUUAAAGGUAAUAAUUUCCAUGACUAGUUUCUUUUUCCUUCCAUUUUACAGUGGCCAUCAGUUGAGAAGUUUGAAGUUCUCAUGACAAUCCUACCACUGAUUUCAUUUUGCAGGUCUGGCAUGUUUUCCUUCUACCCUCUUCCUAAUUAUUCCCUUUUUGACCCAUGGUGUCAUCAUCAUCUUGUCAAAAGCUUCAUAUCACAUGUGAAUCCAACCAUAGCAGCCUCCAAAAAAGUAUGAGGUCGACAUAUUUAUCCCACUAAGAUGAACUUAGUCUUCAAAAGCUUCCAGUGCUUGCUUGUUUGGCAAAAGAAGUCAUUUCUUUUCACUGAAUAAAGCUCACAAGGCGGCUUUGUCAAUGCUUCUGGAUUUCUUAACACCUUGCCCCAAUGGCCUAAGCAAACACAAGGUCACAAGAUCAAUCAGCAUCCAUAUCUUUCAUCUGAAGCUAUCAAUUAGUUCUUGUUCUGCUGUGAAUACCAAGAGCUGAUGAACCUGAUUCUUCAUUGCAGAUGAAGAGGAGCUGCUUGGUGUAUGAAUGCAGGAGGCAAUCUUAAUGACAGGAGUUGUACUUUAUGGACCAGAAUUCUGGCAGGUCAAAGAAAAGAAGAGCCUAUGAACUGAAUUGAAGACAUCUACACACAGACAUAAACUUUGGUCAGGAAGCUUGAGCCUUAAUCUUGGACAGUAAAAGCUCUGCAACUCCUAAGUUGAGAUGAAGGCAACAUCCACUUGAUCCAAAUGUGUACACACCUGCAUCAACUUUAAUCAGUUGGUUUGGACCUGAAACUUGGCAGGUAGAAGCCAUGAACUCUAUUCCACCAUGUGAAAUGGUGGCAAACUUGUUGGUUGACUCCUCUGCUUUUGCCAUUGCUUGAAGCAUGUAGAACAGAAAGGAUGUGAUGGAGAGAUGCAUAUUAAGUGUGAUGAACACAAAUCUUUCUUGUGAUAAG